rnacentral:rRNA from 1 species
AAUGAUCCUUCCGUAGGUGAACNUCGGAAGGAUCAUUA